rnacentral:rRNA from 1 species
AAUCUACCUUUUACAGAGGGAUAGCCCAGAGAAAUUUGGAUUAAUACCUCAUAGUAUAUUUGAGUGGCAUCACUUGAUUAUUAAAGUUCCAACGGUAAAAGAUGAGCAUGCGUCCCAUUAGCUAGAUGGUAAGGUAACGGCUUACCAUGGCUACGAUGGGUAGGGGUCCUGAGAGGGAGAUCCCCCACACUGGUACUGAGACACGGACCAGACUCCUACGGGAGGCAGCAGUGAGGAAUAUCGGACAAUGGGCGCAAGCCUGAUCCAGCCAUGCCGCGUGCAGGAAGAAGCAUCUAUGGUGUGUAAACUGCUUUUAUACAGGAAGAAACAACUCUACGUGUAGAGUCUUGACGGUACUGUAAGAAUAAGGACCGGCUAACUCCGUGCCAGCAGCCGCGGUAAUACGGAGGGUCCAAGCGUUAUCCGGAAUCAUUGGGUUUAAAGGGUCCGUAGGCGGUUUGGUAAGUCAGUGGUGAAAGCCCAUCGCUCAACGAUGGAACGGCCAUUGAUACUGCUAGACUUGAAUUAUUGUGAAGUAACUAGAAUAUGUAGUGUAGCGGUGAAAUGCUUAGAUAUUACAUGGAAUACCAAUUGCGAAGGCAGGUUACUAACAAUAUAUUGACGCUGAUGGACGAAAGCGUGGGGAGCGAACAGGAUUAGAUACCCUGGUAGUCCACGCCGUAAACGAUGGA